CCACUCAAUCAUUCCUUCAUCCGUGCAGCAAUCCCAUACAGAACACCCAAGCAUUCCACCCAAGGUGAGAGACACAGGUGGAUGGGGGCCACCAUGGGCCCAGCUGUUUGUGCUUCUCACCAUGCUGAUUACGGGGCACCCAGGCAUGGGCCCCAUGUGCCUGAUGCUGGCAUACUGAGUCACAGUGAUCUCACUGUAGGGCUUGUGCUUCAGGAGAGGCACAGUGAGGGGCAAUGAAAACAGACAAAAAAGACCAGGAGGUUGAGUUACGGCACUUUGGGCACUGCUGAUCCUCGCAUCCCUGGUCCCCUAUCCCCUGUUCCCUCCCUUGUAAAGUCCUGAGAGGCCCCAAAAUGGCCCAAAGAGAAUCCCCACACUGGAAAACCUGCCUCCAAAAUGGAGGGGACACAGGAGGCAUCGAAAUAGCAGAGAAUUUGUCUGGGUUUGAACCGCCAGUGUGGCAGGACAAAGCCUCAACCUCUGGCUGCUGUAAGAGGCUCAUUCCCAGGAAGAAAAAUGACCUCCAGCUGCAGUAGGUGCAUGUGACACCUCCCUGGCUGGACUGUGAGCUCCUUGAAGCUUUGUUACCUGUGGUGGGGAAGAGUAAGAGAGAAUUCCGUCCAAUGUCAUGAUCCCAACGAGGAAGCAGUACAGAGGUCUGUACAGCCAGCCCACUUGCUUCUCUCUUGGGCACCCCCCUAUUUAUGAUCCACCAACCUAAGCUUCACUGCUGGGAAAAAAACCACCCUGACUUGCAGCAAAUUUUCUGAGAAUGACGUGUCACCCUUCCAGAAGGACCUCCAAGUCUGCCUUCUGUGUGAGUGCACCCUCCAUGCCCUCGGUCGUCCAUCCUGGCUCUAGCAAUCAUAUCCUGGUGGGUCCCACCCCUUUCCUUUGAUUUCUUUCCCCCAUGAGGCAAAGACCGGAACAUCCUAGAGCCUACUUGGGAAGGAAGACCAUGAGGACCAACAAAUCAAAGUCCUGGAAUCUUAGACUGUUAAAUUUUGGCAUGGCAUUAAAUCUAACCUAAUUUAAUAUUCCCAUUUUAUAGGUGAGGAAACUGAGGCCCAGAAAGGGAAAGUGGCUGUCCCAUGAUCACACUGCCAACCGGUUAGUGGCAAUAUCGAAACUGGAGUCCAAACUUCCAGACUUCUACGCAAUUGUUCUUUCCAACCUGCCCCUCAAUUCUGUUUGCACUUGGGGUUCAGAUCACAGAAACAUAAAUUUUAAACAAGCAAACAAAAACCUAGCAUUGUAGGAUUAGAUACCAAACACUUUGAACUUAAAAAAAUAAAAACAUUUAUACGGGCCUUAUCCUAUCCUCAAAGCAUUAUUUUCAGGUAAAUGAAGUUGAUGAUGUUACUCUCAUUGUAUAGAUUGGGAAAUUGAGGCCAGAAAGAGUCGCCCUAAGUCACAACAAAGAUGUGUUGGGGGAAGAAGUGCUUGUGUUUCCUGACUCUAUCCAGUGCUCCUUCCAUUGUACUCCAUGGCUCCGAAAACUUAGCAUUGUCACCCAAAUAACCAAACUAACCAAAUGAAACUGUCAUGGGGCCCCUUCCAGAGAAG